UUGUGCCCUUGAGGCGUGGCUUCCGGAGCUAACGCGUUAAGUCGACCGCCUGGGGAGUACGGCCGCAAGGUUAAAACUCAAAUGAAUUGACGGGGGCCCGCACAAGCGGUGGAGCAUGUGGUUUAAUUCGAUGCAACGCGAAGAACCUUACCUGGUCUUGACAUCCACGGAAGUUUUCAGAGAUGAGAAUGUGCCUUCGGGAACCGUGAGACAGGUGCUGCAUGGCUGUCGUCAGCUCGUGUUGUGAAAUGUUGGGUUAAGUCCCGCAACGAGCGCAACCCUUAUCCUUUGUUGCCAGCGGUCCGGCCGGGAACUCAAAGGAGACUGCCAGUGAUAAACUGGAGGAAGGUGGGGAUGACGUCAAGUCAUCAUGGCCCUUACGACCAGGGCUACACACGUGCUACAAUGGCGCAUACAAAGAGAAGCGACCUCGCGAGAGCAAGCGGACCUCAUAAAGUGCGUCGUAGUCCGGAUUGGAGUCUGCAACUCGACUCCAUGAAGUCGGAAUCGCUAGUAAUCGUGGAUCAGAAUGCCACGGUGAAUACGUUCCCGGGCCUUGUACACACCGCCCGUCACACCAUGGGAGUGGGUUGCAAAAGAAGUAGGUAGCUUAACCUUCGGGAGGGCGCUUACCACUUUGUGAUUCAUGACUGGGGUGAAGUCGUAACAAGGUAACCGUAGGGGAACCUGCGGUUGGAUCACCUCCUU
rnacentral:rRNA from 1 species